UAUAAUACAAUUUGAAGAAAAAAUAGAAGCAAAAACAGAGACUAAUCACCUUUUAUUGUGUCAUAAUGGCCUCAAAGCUUUGAGUGAAGUUUUAGUGGUGAGAGAAGGCUUGACUUGAUGAACAAUGGUGUCGUCGGUGGUCGUCAGUAAAGAUUUUGAACAAAGGUGGAUGGUGCUCUGCUCUCUUUCUAGGUUGUGUUCUUCUCUCUCUCUCUCUCUCUCUCCCUCCCUCUCCUCUCAUUUCUCGUCUAUUUUACAACAAUGAUCUCCCUCCCUCCCCUCUCAUUUCUCGUCUAUUUUACAACAAUGAUCUAUAGCUCGAAAUAAAGAGCUCGAAUGGCCCGAAUAAAAAGCAAAGUGUAUUAUCUCUCUUUAGACUCCAAAAGCAUAUGUUUGUACUCACUCUCUCCUCAGACGCCAAAAUAUCAUCUCUCUCUACUAACUCCAAAAGCAUUCAAGCCCUUAAUUUCUCUUUGAAAUCCUCUCAUCCAAUCCUUUCAUCCUUCAUCUCUCUAUGAAACAUCCAACUCUGUGAACGCGUAAAGAUAGAUCUUGAGCUAUGGGUGUCGACUCGCAAACGGAAAGUCGUUUACCCAGCAGAACAAAAGAUUAAAAAAUAGCUUGUUCCUCUACUAACAAUAGCAACAUAAGAUUAAAACCAAGAUUGUGUGAUUGUCGAAGAACAGUUGCCAUGUACAUUGUCCAAACCAAUGAGAAUGGAAAUUAAGGGCAUUUGUUCUUUGUUUGCCCAUCAAAAUAUAGUAAUAAGGAACAUUGUAAUUACUUCAAGUUCGCAGAUGAUGAUGAUCACAACGUGAUCUCCAUAAUCCGUUCCAAUGCUGCAGCUUGUAAAGCUAUAAGAAACGAAGUAUUUAACAAUCUCAGAACAUGGGUUUCAAAGAUGGAUAAUGAAAUUCAUGAGCAUGGUAGCAGGCUUCGAAAGAUGGAGAAGAAUUUCAAGGCGAUGUUUUAUGUCAUUGUGUUUUGUAUUGUUUUUUAGUUUAUAAUGUAAAUUACUGAGUUGUUAGCUUUUGGAAAAUUUCAUGGAUGUACUUAUGGAUUAAAUGGACUUGAUGGAUUGUGGGUAUGUGUUGUGAUGAUUUGAAUAUGAGUAAUGAAAAACCUGUUCUGUUUUCAA